ACACGACUACAUUAGAUACCCCCGUAGUCCAGGGUGUAAACGCUGCGGGCUUGGUGUUGGGGGUCCUUAGUGGGCGCCCAGUGCCGGAGAGAAGUUGUUAAGCCUGCUGCUUGGGAGUACGUCCGCAAGGAUGAAACUUAAAGGAAUUGGCGGGGGAGCACCGCAACGGGAGGAGCGUGCGGUUCAAUUGGAUUCAACGCCGGACAACUCACCAGGAGCGACGGUUACAUGAAGGCCAGGCUGAUGACCUUGCCUGAUUUUCCG
rnacentral:rRNA from 1 species